rnacentral:rRNA from 1 species
UACGGAGGGGGCUAGCGUUGUUCGGAAUUACUGGGCGUAAAGCGCGCGUAGGCGGACCUGCAAGUCGGGGGUGAAAGCCCGAGGCUCAACCUCGGAACUGCCUUCGAUACUGCGGGUCUCGAGUCCGGGAGAGGUGAGUGGAAUUCCUAGUGUAGAGGUGAAAUUCGUAGAUAUUAGGAAGAACACCGGUGGCGAAGGCGGCUCUCUGGAACGGUACUGACGCUGAGACGCGAAAGCGUGGGGAGCGAGCAGG